CUUAUUUUCAUCCGAUGUUCUGUCCAGUGUAUCCCGUGCUCCUAUUUAUUCCGCUUUCUAUUGAUGGUGGGUUUUUGGACCUGUGUUCUUUGAUCCGCACGAUGUGGCCUGCCGGAUUGGGGAGUUUGGAUCCCCACCUGAAGCUCGCCCCGUGCAGGACCCCAGGGCACGCUAGAUUCAUUUGAUGAUGCUGGUUAGAAUCUUCGUUGUACUGUGGUGUGGUGAGCACAGAGCUGGAGGUUGAGGAAAUUGGUGCAGUGAUCGUCCUGGACUAUUCUUUGGUUUCCUGGUAUAUACUUGCUUCUCGCCGGGUUGAUCUCUGAUGGAUGGACGGGAAGGAGAGAAAAAACGCUUG